AUUGAACGCUGGCGGCAUGCUUUACACAUGCAAGUCGAACGGUAACAGCACUUCGGUGGCUGACGAGUGGCGAACGGGUGAGUAAUACAUCGGAACGUGCCUAGUAGUGGGGGAUAACUACUCGAAAGAGUAGCUAAUACCGCAUGAGAUCUAAGGAAGAAAGCAGGGGACCUUCGGGCCUUGCGCUACUAGAGCGGCUGAUGGCAGAUUAGGUAGUUGGUGGGAUAAAAGCUUACCAAGCCGACGAUCUGUAGCUGGUCUGAGAGGACGACCAGCCACACUGGGACUGAGACACGGCCCAGACUCCUACGGGAGGCAGCAGUGGGGAAUUUUGGACAAUGGGCGCAAGCCUGAUCCAGCAAUGCCGCGUGCAGGAUGAAGGCCUUCGGGUUGUAAACUGCUUUUGUACGGAACGAAAAGCCCUCUUCUAAUACAGGAGGGUCAUGACGGUACCGUAAGAAUAAGCACCGGCUAACUACGUG
rnacentral:rRNA from 1 species